rnacentral:ribozyme from 1 species
CAUCGGGAUUUUCGGGUGUGUACUUCGAAAAAAUAUUGAAAGGAUCAAAAACAAGUCUUUGGAUAAGAAACAUACAAAUGGGUUUUUCAUCUAU